GUGGUUUUGUAGUCUCAUUUGUAACUGGUAUUGACAUUUUAGAAAACACCAAAGUGAUUUAAAAAAAUAUGGAACUUCUCACUCUAGUAACAAUAUGUUUAAAUCAUGUUGUUUGUUAAUUAAAUAUUUAAAACUUAUUGUUAACUUUUGCUAGACUAUUUUAAAUCAUGAAAGUGUUGAGAAGGGGAUAUCGAAAUAUAGUUAUGUUAGCUUGUGUACAUAAACGACGCACAUUAAAACAAGCAAAUUGCUUCCAGCAUACAACAGACUACCCUGUUAUAAAUUAAACAUAUAUUAUGACAGCCACAUAUAUGUUAAUAAAUUGGGUAAGAACAUGCUCUCUGACUAAAAAUUGUUCUCAUACCUAAUACUAGUCUUCAUGCAUUUUGAAAGACCGUAACACUCAUCCCAUCCAAUUAUUAUGUUUACUUUAGGAUUUUUCUGAGUUUUGAUUGUUGAACAAUAACUUAAAUCACAGCCUGUUAUAAUAUUAAUUUUCAAAGACUUAAUAGUACAAGAGAUCAAGAAAAAAGCUUUUGAACUCCUUUUGCUUACCUAAUGUUUUGCUGUGCUCACGCAGCUGUGUAGUUUUCACUAAAACAAAACCAAAAUAAGUCUUGUAUUGGAGUUGAAUAACAGAAAUGGAUUUUGCAUUAAUGAUUUGUUUAUAUUUUCUUCAUUUGAACAACCAGCAUUACUGCCAAACACCAAUCGUGGUCCAUAUUUGUAACAGGUUUUUAACAUGACAUAGUUAGCAAGUUUGACUGAAGAGAUUUUUAGGUCCUGGGUCUAAUAAGAUUUUAGUAUGAUCUUUUUUCAUGUUUCUAAUGCUUGAGGCAUUAUUGCUUAACUUGGAAAAAUCUAGACAGUGUUGCUGCCAUUUGUAAGUUUUCCUAUACUAUUCCUUUUAUUAACUUUAAAACUGGCCUUACUGGGUUCAAAUAGGCAGUAUCCCUUUUAAGUGACCUUUGCAACUCAAGUGUUACUUGCUUAUUUGAUGCUCUUUUGUAUUUUACAUCUCAUUUAAAUCUUUCUCUCCACCAAAGCUUAAAUUCUAUGUCUUAAUUUAAACUCUGAACUAUUCCAUUAAUCAUGUUAGUUGACAUUAAAGUGUCUAGAGGUACAGAGGCUGACCUAGGGAAACAAAAUGGAUGUUGUGACUCAGAGGAUACAGUAGAAUGAUGGUCUCACCUGCCCACAGUUUCAAAUAUGUUACAAUUAUCUGGAGCCGGGACCUGUGUUGUUUUCCCAUAGCACAGAAUGUUAAUACUGCUAUUAUUCCAUGUACAUUUCUGUAAAGAACAAAUCAAUAAAGCAAAGGUAUGAAGUUUCUUGAUUUCUUGAAAAAGUUCCAGGAUGUUAAAGUCUUAGAAAACCUUUACCAACAGUUUCAUCUACUUUAUUUCUAAUUCACAAGAUUAACUCAAAGAAAUUCUGAGACUAAUGGGAUACUGUCUUGAAAAGAUGCCAAUUAAGUCUACAGUGUGACCUGACAGAGCUGUCUUUUUUGUUGUGCUGUAUGUUGUUGGAUCAUUUCUAUUAGGGAUACUUUUAUUGAAAUGCUCAGUGUGCAUCCAUGAAAAAGGCCAAGUGGCUUUGUGAACAAAAGAUACUUUCUCCCCUUUAUUAUGUUCUCUUGACACUUUUGUGGAAAUUAGCCUGAUAAAAACAUUUUUGUAAAAAUUUGUAUAUUACUGUUAUAAAAAUAUUUAUAAUCCCAGAAAAUGUUGUGUUAAAUCUUGUGCAAAAACAGUAUAUUCAGAAUAAAAGUUUAUCAUUUAAAGUC
rnacentral:lncRNA from 1 species